rnacentral:rRNA from 1 species
CCUACGGGAGGCAGCAGUGGGGAAUAUUGCACAAUGGGGGAAACCCUGAUGCAGCGACGCAGCGUGUGUGAAGAAGUAUUUCGGUACGUAAAGCACUAUCAGCAGGGACGAAAAUGACGGUACCUGACUAAGAAGCGCCGGCUAACUACGUGCCAGCAGCCGCGGUAAUACGUAGGGGGCAAGCGUUAUCCGGCUGUACUGGGUGGAAAGGGAGCGUAGACGGCAGCUCAAGUCUGGAGUGAAAUCCCAGGGCUCAACCAUGGAACUGCUUUGGAAACUGGGCAGCUAGAGUGCAGGAGAGGGAAGUGGAAUUCCUAGUGUAGCGGUGAAAUGCGUAGAUAUCAGGAGGAACACCAGUGGCGAAGGCGGCUUACUGGAC